CAGUGAUUAUAGCAAGAGAAUAUGACAAGCAUAGCAAUCCCUUGUAGCAGAUUCCCCCAAUAAGAGACAGGACACAGAUUGAGGGUGAAGAAGAACCUGAAGCUUUUAAUGAAACACUCUGCUUUUAUGCCCAUUCUACAUAGUACCGCCCACAGAGUUUUGUAAAACAACCAAUAAAAUACGUACAUUAUAGUAAAACAC